CGCACCUUGCGCCUUUUGGUAUUCCAAAAGGCAUGCCUGUUUGAGUGUCAUGUAGACUCAACCUCCAAGGUUUUUUUGACCUUGUUGGCUUGGACUUGGGCGCCUGCCUCCUUGGCUCGCCUUAAAAGCGUUAGUGGGAUAAACCGAAAGCCCGAUGUAAUAAGUUUCAUCUGGUCUAGGUGAUUGCCUGCUCACAACCCCAUCUUAUGACUCUGACCUCAAAUCAGGUAGGACUACCCGCUGAACUUAA
rnacentral:misc_RNA from 1 species